rnacentral:rRNA from 1 species
GUGUCAGCCGCCGCGGUAAUACGUAGGGGGCAAGCGUUGUCCGGAAUUAUUGGGCGUAAAGCGCGCGCAGGCGGUUCCUUAAGUCUGAUGUGAAAGGCCACAGCUCAACUGUGGAGGGCCAUUGGAAACUGGGGAACUUGAGGACAGAAGAGGAGAGCGGAAUUCCACGUGUAGCGGUGAAAUGCGUAGAUAUGUGGAGGAACACCAGUGGCGAAGGCGGCUCUCUGGUCUGUUACUGACGCUGAGGUGCGAAAGCGUGGGGAUCAAACAGGAUUAGAUACCCCCGUAGUCC